rnacentral:rRNA from 1 species
CUUGGUCAUUUAGAGGAAGUAAAAGUCGUAACAAGGUUUCCGUAGGUGAACCUGCGGAAGGAUCAUUCAUAAUAAGUGUUUUAUGGCACUUUUUAAAUCCAUAUCCACCUUGUGUGCAAUGUCAGUCGAUCUUCUUCAUGGAGAUCGGCCAAACAUCUACCUUAUUUUUUAACUCUUUGUCUGAAAAAUAUUAUGAAUAAACAAUUCAAAAUACAACUUUCAACAACGGAUCUCUUGGCUCUCGCAUCGAUGAAGAACGCAGCGAAAUGCGAUACGUAAUGUGAAUUGCAGAAUUCAGUGAAUCAUCGAAUCUUUGAACGCAUAUUGCGCUCUUUGGUAUUCCGAAGAGCAUGCUUGUUUGAGUAUCAGUAAACACCUCAAAGCUUUUGGAUUUUUUUUGAAAGCUUUGGACUUGAGCAAUCCCAACGCCAAUCUUUUUCAGAUCGGCGGCGGGUUGCUUGAAAUGCAGGUGCAGCUGGACUUUCUCCUGAGCUAAAAGCAUAUUCAUUUAGUCCCGUCAAGCGGAUCAUUACUUUUGCUGCAGCUAACAUAAAGGGAGUUUGACCGUAUUGGCUGACUGAUGCAGGAUUUUACAAGGGUCGGCAACGAUUCUUGUUAAACUCGAUCUCAAAUCAAGUAAGGCUACCCGCUGAACUUAAGCAUAUCAAUAAGCGGAGGA